AGUUGAAAAUUUUAGAAAAAUAGCACAAUUUAGCUAGGAUAGUUUUCAAGAUUUAAAGUUUGAUUCGUAUAUGAAAUUAUUUAUUCAUUAAUCUGGAUGACAGCAGCAGUGGGACAUUCCAUCCAAACAACAAUACGAUGGCGUCUGCCGUUGAUAGUCCAGAGGUGCUGAACCUGACACGCCAGCACUUGAAAAAGGUUGAACCUGCGCCAGGAAACCUCCAUUACUCUAGCCUGCUACUGGAUCACAACGACAUUGCUAGGUUGGAAAAUGUUGAGACUUAUUGCAGCCUCAUCAAGUUUUCAGCAUCUCACAAUCAGUUAGUCAGAAUGUAUGGUGUCGCUAGGCUGUACAGCCUAAGAGUGCUGAAUCUAUCGCACAACAGCAUUGUCUCGAUAGAAGGUUUGAAGGACAUGAAGUACCUCUCCCACCUGAACCUUGCGGGUAACAACAUCAAAAGCAUAGAGCACCUCAACGCCAACUUGCUGCUGGAGCACCUCGACCUGUCUGACAAUGCCAUUACGACGAUACCUGACCUGUCCAGCAUGAAGCUUCUUCGUCGGCUACACUUGCAAUCGAAUCGCAUCAAGACACUGCAGUUUUGCGACAAAUUUCUACCAACCAGCCUAACGACCCUGACGUUGGCGGAAAAUUGCUUGACGGACGUGAAUGAAGUGUCCCGGCUGGCCCACCUAGUCUACUUAGAAGUGUUUAGUAUGGCCGGCAAUCCGUGCUGCUCAUCUGGCGAUGUUUACCGGCCGUUCCUGCUCAAUUGGCUACCGGGCUUGAAAAUCCUGGACGAAACGCUGGUCAGCGCCAAGGAGAGUUUGGUGGCCGAAUGGCUCUUUUCACUGGGCAGAGGCCGCCAGUUCAAAAUUGGCCAGCACGACGAGUUAAUGGCUUAUUUGAUCUCAAUCCGGCCAGAAAUCGGAGGCUUAACGAACGGAUCUCAGUCGGACUUGGAAGGCAGCUCCGGCAAACUCGAUAAAAUACUCAAUUUGGCCCGUCAGAAUCAUUGCGAUUUACAGCUGGCCGUCUCUGCCACUUCUUCGCCAACGCCCACGCGACGGUCGGUCCCGUCCCCGGCGGUCAAGAAAACGGUCCCACUUCGAAAACAAACUUCUCCUCCCAAAGACAAUACAUCGGCGAAAGCCAACAGGGCGGCCAAGUCGACUUAUGAAGACGACUUGAGCUUAGAGCCUAUGCCGGCCUUAAUGUACACAAGUUUGGACCCUUCGUCAACGAACUUGGCCCUCGAAAGAAGUUGCAGCGUCACUUUAAUGCCCGGCAAUCGUCCCGCGCGUCCCGUUUCUGCCCAGCAUUUCGGCACGGAGGACGAAGAAGGGCUGGAACUGGCCGGACAGCCGAGUCUGCGCAGAGCGGCCUCGGCUUCCCAGCAAACACGUAAGCCGGUGUACAACCGGUCGACGUCGCACCAGCCUCGCAAUACCAAGCCCGUCUCUAAAUUACCGACGAGAAAGAGCAUGGCGGAAAGAAGCGGCCCAAUGUCGGUUCCAUCACACGUGACGUCCGCCCCGAAAUUGUCUGAAGCUCAGGCCGCCGUGGCCAUCCAGAAAGUGUGGCGAGGAUAUCAAACGCGCAACUUAAACCCAGUCGUCGUCCGUCUGAAGGAUCACGUUCGAUUGAGCCGGACGGAGGAGCACACGUCUGAGCUCAUUGUAGACGUACUCGCCAUCGUUAGCCCCAACAUCGCAGAUCGGAGACCCACCCGCUUCUCUGACGGGCUGAACACAGAAUUGAUCGACGAGCCGGCCCUCAAUGAUAAUCGGCAUUUUACCAUUCGUAUAAAACGGAAACAGAGCAACGUGAUAGUCUUUCAAAUGGAAGGCGUAAUCAGCUGAUAGUUUGGACUUUGCGCGAGAUGGCAAUAACGUUCCGUUAGUGUGAACAGCAACGAUCCAGCGCAUCGGGGGAGGAUAGAGAGUGGACAAAACUAUGGCCACUUGAUCGGCAAGUUGUUCAGUCGACGUUACAUUUUUCGCUGUUUCGAUUUAAUUGGCGCUUGAGGCAAUCACUGACCAGCUGGAUAUUACGAGCCGUUAUUUUCACGUUUCGUUCUCUGACGGCUGUUGUUCUACGAUUCCAUUCCCUGAUUGAACGUGAAAAAAACGUUGGAAUUAAUUUCUAAAUAGUUUGAUGGUUUUAAGUGAAUCUUACACUCGAGACAUUUGUCCUAAACGAGAGAAAUGAUCGACAGCCAUCGUUCCAUUCGUAAUCAAAUCUUUGUACCGGUCGAAUUUAUGCCACAUCUCGGUGACGUUACACUAUUCAAUCAAUACAAUAAACAAUUAAGAAUAAAAUUAAAUGAUUAAGAAUUGGAUUUAGUUUUCAAAAUGUCAAACACCUUCUUCUUUUCUUGAAUGUUACCCGAUAAAUCAGAUCCAGUUACUGGCUGACCCAGCAAUCCUUCCAUCAGUAACACAAUCUCGCCAUUGAGAAGCCGGGCACGUUCAAGCCACAACAGUUUCUGCAACUCUGAAAUUCCGUUGGCCGAGACAUGUUGCACAACGGCCACAUCAAACAAAGCCCUCGAGAUGGCGUCUUCUGCUUUCUUGUAUUGGCUUCCCUCAUCGGGUCGGAUGAGAUCUUCCAAUCGCUUGACACCGUCCAGCAGAUCUUCCUUCCGUCGUCGGUUGCGGUAAGAUCCAGUCUUCGAUCGCAUCCAUGAUGGAGAAUGAUCCAUCCAACAAGGCUAAUGUCAUCUCCACCCGAUGAACAAUAUCAGACCAGCCACUGCCUUCAGAAUCAUUUGCGCCUUCCGGUUGUUCGUCCAUCUGGUUUUGGCAACUAGUGCAGCACAAGACUAGCAACAAUAGUGUCGUCAAUGUUUUCGCCAUUUUCGUUCAUUUGUUUUACACGUCCUGAUUAUUGAAAUGCAAAUCAGUCUUUUAAUUUACGUAUGCCGUAAAUCAAUUAAAAUUAUACCUCAUUUAAGUAUCCGAAUGCAGCACAUGUCAACACUGUGUCUAUUGCAAGUGAUGCACUGCGAGGAUCAGAUGAGCAACUGCCGUCAGAAAACACGAAAUAAAAGAUGAUUGGAUUCUGGAUUCUCGCAUGUCUCGCCAUCUGCGCACUUGGCGGGCCGAUGGAAAGUCACAUGACCCAUCAUCACGGCGGGUUGGAUUCGGUAGAGAUCCAUUCGAAGCAUCAACUGUCCAGCGAAAAUGAAGGAUCGCCUUCACCUCAACAUGAAGACGUCGGAGGACAUUCGUUGGAAUCUGGCGAAACGUCUGAAUCGGACGAAUCGAAUGAAACUCUGUCUGCAUCUCCCCCGUCAUCGAGGAGUAAGAGACAGGCACCUUCUUACAUCCGAUCUUAUCCGAAUCCGAAAUCGUAUUUGAGAAAACAGCAACGCACCCCACGUGACUACUGCGACUAUUUUGAUGACAGUGACGGUGGCUACGCGUAUUGCUGUUAUUAUUGAAAAAGCAGUUGUUGUUUUCAAAACGAAUCAAUCAAAUUCACAUUUUGUCUAGUUAUGAAUAAAGAGUUUCGUUUACCCGUG
rnacentral:misc_RNA from 1 species